UUUUAGAAACCAGUUGUAAUAUCCCAAUCUGAUUUUCACUUUUUCCCCCUAAUUUCUCUUCCCUCUCUUCCUCGCUUUCGUUCCCCGUAAUACACCACUACCAUUCUUCCUCUCUUCUUCACUCUACAUCAUCCGCUGUUCACUCAACCAUUCACUCAACCAUUCACUCUCCAUCAGUCGUUCAUUCGCUGCCUUACGAGAGCGUUUCUCUCGUCUCCAUUAUCGAAAGGCUCUCGUUGCCUCUCCAUCAUCGAAGGCUCUUGCUGCCUCUCCAUCAUCGAAGGCUCUUGCUGCCUCUCCAUCAUCGAAGGCUCUUGCUGCCUCUCCAUCAUCUCGUUGAACCACAGUUCAAGCAUGUUUGUCUAGGUAGGCUUUGAGAUGAUUGAUGCAAUUGCUGAGUCGUAGGGGAUUCCUAUGAACACUGCCCAUUCCAAAGCCAUUUUCGGAAAAGGGAUAGGAAAAUCUCGAAAUUGACAAUGACUGCUAAAGGAAUACCAGUAUUUUCGGCAGUUUAAGCUCUGACAGAGUGGAUGGUGUUUAGCUCCCUUAGAUUCUUGGGAGGCUUUGCAGUUGCCCUGAUUGAUGAUCCUCUGUGGGUCAUGAACACUGUCCCUAUUGAGGCCGAGUUCAACACCCUCGGUGUCAUAUAUGAACGUGGAUUGAUUGGAACCUACCAAAACUGGUUUAUGGCUGAUCCAUCUACACCUACACGACCACAAAGUGAGGACCAAAGUCAAUCGUCUACCCAACCCAAGUGUAGACGAGCGACUAGGCUAAAAGACUUGACUGUUAGUCGUAAUGCUGAUCAGAAAUUGCCCAUUCAAUUUGAUGAGUACAGGAAAAGUUAUUGGAGACAACCGUGCAAGAUUCACUAGCUUUGUGGCCUUACUUGGUAGAAGUAUUGUUAGUAUUCUUACUUGGUAGAAACUUGGCUACACUUAAAUAGUAUAUGUACAUUAAUGUAAUAUUUGGAUUUAAUAUAUAGUUUCAUGUAUAAAUGAUGUAUUAAAUAUUAGACUAUUUAACUUUUGAAAUGAAUUCUAUUUUGUUAGUUUC